UAGGGAAUUGUUCGCAAUGGGCGCAAGCCUGACGACGCAACGCCGCGUGGAGGAUGAAGACCUUCGGGUCGUAAACUCCUUUCGACCGAGAUGAAUACCUGUCGACCUAAUACGUCGACAGGCUGACAGUAUCGAGGGAAGAAGCCCCGGCUAACUCCGUGCCAGCAGCCGCGGUAAUACGGGGGGGGCAAGCGUUGUUCGGAAUUACUGGGCGUAAAGGGUUCGUAGGUGGCCGACUAAGUCAGACGUGAAAUCCCUCAGCUCAACUGGGGAACUGCGUCUGAGACUGGCCGGCUUGAGUGCAGGAGAGGAACGCGGAAUUCCAGGUGUAGCGGUGAAAUGCGUAGAUAUCUGGAGGAACACCGGUGGCGAAGGCGGCGUUCUGGACUGCUACUGACACUGAGGAACGAAAGCCAGGGGAGCAAACGGG
rnacentral:rRNA from 1 species